rnacentral:rRNA from 1 species
GACGAACGCUGGCGGCGUGCUUAACACAUGCAAGUCGAACGAAGAGCGAUGGAUGCUUGCUUCUAUCAAUCUUAGUGGCGAACGGGAGAGUAACGCGUAAUCAACCUGCCCUUCAGAGGGGGACAACAGUUGGAAACGACUGCUAAUAAUGCAUACGAUCCAAUCUCGGCAUCGGGACUGGAUGAAAGGUGGCCUCUAUUUAUAAGCUAUCACUGAAGGAGGGGAUUGCGUCUGAUUAGCUAGGUGGAGGGGUAACGGCCCACCAAGGCGAUGAUCAGUAGCCGGUCUGCGAGGACGAACGGCCAGACUGGGACUGUGACACGGCCCAGACGCCUACGGGAGGCAGCAGGGGGGAAUCUUCCGCAAGGGACGAAAGUCUGACGGAGAAACGCCGCAGGAGUGAUGACGGCCGUCGGGUUGUAAAGCUCGGUUAUUCGGGACGAAUGGUCCUUGUGUGAAUAGGGCGAGGAUUUGACGGUACCGGAAGAGAAAGCCACGGCUAACUACGUG